UGAGGAUGAGGACCUACACUUGAAGUACGGCCCACAGCUGCUUAAUCACAGGAAUUAGUGUCAGCAGAUGUCCCAACACUCCCAACCCCAAAACUUGUUAAAUGUGAAAGCAGUGAUUGAUUGUUUUCCCACUUCAACUUGCUCCCUCCAGGAACAGCUGUUAAAAUUUGCUUUCUUUAAACUAUGUGAAUUUGAAGAACUGAUUUAGUUCUCUGAAACUUAACCAAAGUCAGGUUGUCCCCACAGCUCCUUUGCUCCUCCUGAGAUGUAACCAUUAACUGUGGUGGUGCCUCCAGAAGCCCUGCCUGGGGCCGGAAGCUUUGUGUGAGUCCUCACAUCCCAGCUCAGAGACACUCGUGUCAAUCCCUAGAGCCUUUCUUCUGGAGAGCCCUGUGAAGAGUUGCAUCACUGGUGUGGAAGGUGCCUGGUGCUCUUCCCAGUCAGCAUCCAAGGUGUUGGAGCCAUGAGGGCCCUGGAGAGACACAAAAUCCAAAGAAGAAACACCUUUUAAAGGAGGAAAAGCAAACCACAAUCAGCCCUUCCAUAAUACCACUUAACUCUGAGCUACUGAAGGGUGUCUGAUACUGUGGCAGACAAAUCUGCGUUCCAAAAGCAGAGCCUGUCAUGUGAUAAGGGAGCAGAUGUCUCUUGGAUGGCGUUCCUCGCUGUGUCACAGUAUCAUUAGGGUAGCUACAUGCCAAGAACUGCACUUGGCUCUGUCUCCAUUUCAGGGUUGUAAAAGGCAUCAGAGGCUUUUUCCUAGGAAAAGGCACGCGCAGGAGCACCAAGCCUUGUGCAGGUGAGGCAGAAGGACAGAGAUGGACAGGUGUGUGCACACAUCUGUGCACAUGAGCACACGCAUCCCAGAGAGCCACAGAUGUCACCACACUUCAUUCUUCCCUCAAAAAAAAUGGGAGUGUCUGAAAAGCUGGGGAGGAAACCUGUGACGGGGAGAUGAAAUGUACCUGCUGGUGUGAUUGUCAGCUGGGGGCUGUUCCAGUGAUAUUGCAGUUUGUAGGUGCAUGUAUCCAAAAAAAAAAAAAACCAAACAAAAAAACCCCAAACAAACCCAAACCAAACUUUUGUUUUUUUUUUUUUUUAUUUUUAACUAUGAAGUUGUUAUUAUCUGUUUUGUCUCUCCCUCGUUUUUCUGUAACUCUCAGGUCUUCUGAUUCUUUGCUUUUACACACACUGAAACCUGCGCUCUGAAGCUGUCAGAAAACAUCCAUGUGAUGUGCCAUUCCCUCUCAUCUGUGCAGGGAUGCUGCAAUCCCAGAACAUGGAGGUGGAGAGCCUUCAGAAGGACAGGUGGGUGCCAGUGAUGGAUGCUCAUCAAAGACACUGAAGAUUUGAAUCAGGGUCCUUUUCCCUGACUGGCAGCUGGAACAGCUCUUCUGUGACAUUUGGGGAGGAAGAUUUCAGUGCCUAGUGCCUCUCCUGUGGAGCCUGCACUUCCCAAAGAUCAUGACACUGCUCAAAGCAACAGGUGUACUGAAGAGAAAACUGUCUGGAUCCUGCACUGGGCUGUCCCGUGACGGCAUUUAGCAAAGUGCAGGGAGCAAUUACUGACUCUGCAGCACAGCGAUGCAGCAGACUUACGGAUUUCCUUUGCCAGACCUUUACCCCUUGAGAGUAAAUGAGACUGUAGGUAUAGCUGGUUCACACUUUUGUUUUAGAGAAUAGAUGGGGCUAAGCAGCGGCCCUGGUGAUAGCUCAGUGUGGGGACACAAGGCCAGGCAGGGUUUUUUAUGAGAAGGGAGCAGAAACCUUGGCUUUUUCCUCCUGGCAGCCAAAGAUAGGUGAAAGAAAGCUCUCCAUCAGGAUAUCAGGGAGUGCUUGUUCUGACUAAGGAGAGAGAGGAGAUAUUUAAGGAAGAGGAAGGAACUGAUACAUGGAAAGGGUGGAAAUAAAGUAGGACUUAGAUGCAGGUUUCUAACAACUGGGGUAUUCAAGGUCUGGGACUGCACUUCCUGGUGAGGCAGCAGUGACAGCAACUGAAAUGUUUUUUGAGGGCUCAAGUCCUGCAUUCAUACAGGAAUCUAUCCCAGAGGCACAGCAGGAGGGCCUGGGUUUGGCAGAGCUCAGGCACCAAGCCAGCCAUCUGCACAGCAUCACCGCACCCAAAGACAUAUCCCAAAGUGUGGGAGGAACAAACAUCCCAAAGAGAAAACACUAUUUUUGGGCUAUGGUCCUUCCAAGUCCUAGCAAAGCCAUGAAUAAUGCUAAAAUUUUGGAGGAAGGCAGGGGAGGCCAUGCCAAGUCAGUGCAUCUCUCACACGCAGGACAGCAUGAAGUCAAGGCAUGGCAAAAGCUGCGUGUUCCCAGCCCUGAGCCAGCCUCUGUGAAGCAAUAUUUCACUUGCUUUCUCAGAAGCAUCCAGAAUCAACCAGCUUGGCUAGCCCAAGGUUGACUGCAUGCAGUCAUGUGUG